rnacentral:lncRNA from 1 species
UUCAUUUCAUUGUCGUCUAUUUUGGAUUCAUUUGGAUUUUGUUUGCUGUUUUUUUGUGUAUUUUUUAAAACUUUUGUUUGUCAUUUGUGAACUUUAUAAACUUACCACAAUGCAAAGUGAUUAUUUAAUGAAAUUAUUAUUGGAACCUCCAGAUGUUGGAGAAAGAUAUUGAUUGAAGCUGAAAAUAAUUGGACAUUUAAAUAUUCCACCAAUUACUAUUAUAAUGCUAUUAUAGAUAUCUGGUAGAGUCUCACAGUUACUACUUUAAACAGCAGAUGAAAGCAUACAAAAGCCUUCAGGCACAUAAGAGCCUUUAAAAAUGGGUUUGUUUUGAAAGUUGCAGUAAAAAUUGUUAAUGAUUUCUAUAUUAUUGCUGGAAAGGUGAAGCAUUCCCAAAAAGCUAACGCUAAACCACUAGAUGCUUGGGUAAUAGCCAGUUCCAAUGGCAUAGCAAAUUCACAUAUGUGUAUGGCCAGUAAUAGUGAAGUUUGCAGCCAUAUUGCAGCAAUAUUAUUUGCAGCUGAGUAUGCCCACAGCAAGACAGAAGAAGAAGAACCCAAUGCAUGUACAGAUGUUACAGCUAUGUACAUGGUUUGGAGAUAGCAACAUAUGCAUUCUCUGAUGAAAAACUAAUGAAUUUUGAAAAUGUUCGGUCAUAGUGCUUGUUGCAGUCUCUAAACGAACUGAAAUAUAAGACGGCUUUGGCUUCAUGUUGCAACGAUAUGAAAAUGGUUAUUCAUUUUUAAUUAUAAUGUACUUCAUCAUCAUGAGUAUUUAUGUAUUAGUCUUUUAAGUGUGUAUUAUCAGAUAUCACAUGUAUACAGUGGCGUAGCGUGAGUGUCGGCCGCCCGGGGCGGAAGACAAUUAUGCCGCCCUCUUAUUUAGGUAUUUCAAUUUAUUGUAUAACAUUACAUACAUUAAUCAUAGAGAACUUUUCGGCGAGAACAGUCAUCAUUAUUUUGCAUUGUACAGGUUAGAUUUUAAAUAAUAGUAUAUUACAUACCUAGCGGGAAAGUACUCUAUUUCAGCCGAGCGGCAAGGUAGUCUACCGAGGUGCGAUGCACCGAGGUAAACUACAGACGCGAGGCUAGAAUGAGUUCCCGCGAGGUUUGUAUACUAUUUUACUCACAAUCGGUUAGUAGUUUAUGGAUUUCUAAUACUCACAAUCUACCAAUAAUAAUUUCGUUUCAAAUAUCUGUAUCCAUUUUCAUUAUGUGAUAAGAUGAAUUAUUUUAAGUAACCUGUGAGAUCGUUGCUAGGUAACAAAACAAGUUUGUUGAAUCUGACAUUUAGGCGAUACACGACGCCAUUAACUGUACAUAUAAUCAAAUUGUGUUAAUUUUACAAAAAUGUCUGAUAGUGAAUUUGAAAUGUACAGAAUGUAUAGAAAAGUGACAGAUGCUAGCCGGGAAAGUACUUUUCCGUCUAGCUGGGAAAGUAAAGUAAGUAAUAAGUCGCUUCCUGAUUAUUUCAAAGGUUAGAAAUCCAUAAAUUACUAACCGAUUGUGAGUAAAAAAGUUUAUCUAAGUUUUACAAUGACGUUUAUUAAUACAAAAAUUGUUUUAUUUUAACCAAUUAGAUACAUUGAUAUAACUUAGGUACCUAUCACUUAAGAUUAGGUACACCUUGACG